GGCAUUUUAACUAUAUAAGUAUAUACUUUGAAAGUAUAAAAAAGGAUAACCUAUUUGCCU
rnacentral:tRNA from 1 species